GUCCUUGUAGCUUAUACAAAGCAUGGCACUGAAGAUGCCAAGAUGGCUGCCACAAACACCCAAGGACA
rnacentral:tRNA from 1 species